UACGUAGGUGGCAAGCGUUGUCCGGAUUUACUGGGUGUAAAGGGCGUGCAGCCGGGAGUGCAAGUCAGGCGUGAAAUGCAUGGGCUUAACCCAUGCCCUGCGUUUGAAACUGUACUUCUUGAGUACCGGAGGGGCAAUCGGAAUUCCUAGUGUAGCGGUGAAAUGCGUAGAUAUUAGGAGGAACACCAGUGGCGAAGGCGGAUUGCUGGACGGCAACUGACGGUGAGGCGAAAGCGUGGGGAGCAAACAG
rnacentral:rRNA from 1 species